GAAAGUGUGCCUCCAGUAACAAGUGACCUAUUGUGUAAUUUGAAAGACAAAAAGUGUCUUAAAGAGUAAAAAAUUCAAACUUAAAUCUUCGCUUCCUGCAACUACGCUUUCUCAGUCUUUUGUUUUUUUUUUUCUGUUUUCAAACUUUUUUCUUGUUAAUGAGAGCAUUCGUAUGUGCUCUAAGCCUAUACUCGCUCUCAUAUUCUAUUGCUGAGCAAAAGUUUGUAAUACUCUUUUUU
rnacentral:lncRNA from 1 species